rnacentral:misc_RNA from 1 species
CAUCAGAACUUUUAACUGGGUGGAGCGAUUUCGACAAAUUUUCUUUUAAUCGAAAGGUGGUAUGUGGCAAUUGGUCCCAUUUAAAUUUAUUUGAGAUCUAACAACUACUUUUCGAGUUAUAUCUAAUAAUGUGUUUUUACUUGACGCUUUUUUCGUCGACCUACGUUGUAUUAUACCGCAUAACUUUCUACUGGAUGUACCGAUUUUGAUAAUUCUUUAUUUGUUGGAAAGGGGAUAUCCCUAGUUUGGUACCGUGAUAAGGAAACUAGGAUCUGAUGAUGGGAUCCUAGAGGAAUCGAGGGAAAAUCUCGAAAAUCCGUAAUAACUUUUAACUGGGUGUAC